CAAUAGCGUAUAUUUAAGUUGUUGCAGUUAAAAAGCUCGUAGUUGGAUUUCGGGUAGGAUUUGCCGGUCCGUCUUUGAGAUGUGUACUGGUAAGUCCUAUCUUCUUGUCGGGGACCAGCUCCUUGGCUUCACUGUCCGGGACUGGGAGCCGACGAAGUUACUCUGAGUAAAUUAGAGUGUUCAAAGCAAGCCUACGCUCUGAAUAUAUUAGCAUGGAAUAACACGAUAGGACUCUGGCUUAUCUUGUUGGUCUGUGAGACCAGAGUAAUGAUUAAGAGGGACAGUCGGGGACAUUCGUAUUUCAUUGUCAGAGGUGAAAUUCUUGGAUUUAUGAAAGACGAACUUCUGCGAAAGCAUUUGUCAAGGAUGUUUUCAUUAA
rnacentral:rRNA from 1 species